AUACAGACUGAAUAAUUGUUUUCCCGGCCAACCGAGUAAAUCCUUCCUUUGGAACCGGCCAUCAGAGAGAGAGAGAAGCCCUUCUUUUGGUCGUGCGCUUUUUUUUUUUGAUUUUCUUUCAAACAGGCUGGUUGUUUGGGAAUGCGACCUAGAUUGGGAGGUCUAUCCCACCCCUAGCUAUAGAUUGGAAAGAAACCGAGAACGAACACCUACCGGGAGGGAAAAAGAAAAAUAUCUUUAAAAAGAUAGUUAAAAAGUAAAUUUGAUUGUUAAAAGGCGAUCGUUGGCAGACUGAGUGGUCUGUCUGUAAUCUAUCUAUCCGUCUGGCUGCACGUCCUUGCGAGGCCUGCCUGCCACCCUUUCUUUUACUUGAGAAAAAAAACAAAAAAAAAAGCGGCCCGCUGGUGGGAGUGAUACUCCCACAAAAACUACCUUGGGAUUGAGAGAGGAACCCAACGCAUGUUUUUUGGC
rnacentral:rRNA from 1 species